GCGUUCGUAGCUCAUCUGGAUAGAGCGCCAGCCUUCCAAGCUGGAGGUAGGGGGUUCGAGUCCCCCCGGGCGGCGGCA
rnacentral:tRNA from 1 species